rnacentral:rRNA from 1 species
GACGAACGCUGGCGGCGUGCUUAACACAUGCAAGUCGAGCGGUAAGGCCCUUUCGGGGGUACACGAGCGGCGAACGGGUGAGUAACACGUGGGUGACCUGCCCUCAGCUCUGGGAUAAACCUGGGAAACUGGGUCUAAUACUGGAUAUGACUCCACGGUGCAUGUCGUGGGGUGGAAAGCCUUGUGCGGCUGAGGAUGGGCCCGCGGCCUAUCAGCUUGUUGGUGGGGUGAUGGCCUACCAAGGCGACGACGGGUAGCCGGCCUGAGAGGGCGACCGGCCACACUGGGACUGAGACACGGCCCAGACUCCUACGGGAGGCAGCAGUGGGGAAUCUUGCGCAAUGGGCGAAAGCCUGACGCAGCGACGCCGCGUGAGGGAUGACGGCCUGGUGUAACU